AGAGGGGCUCUCUCUUUUAAAUCAAGCUCAUGUGUAAACAACGGGAGUCUCUUUGCUGGCUGGCUUCAUUCAGUAACACCCCACUCUCCAAGCCCAGGAGGAAGCCCAAGCCCACUUGGAUUCAUGCAGAGCCUUUCCUGUUCUCCAGCGCCAUAUGUGGGGUUUUGGCUCAAGGAAUAAUUUGGCUAAGCUGGUACCUACGUGUGUAGGACAGGCCUUCAUUAUCCACUGGGCAGUCAUUUCUCAGUGAGGAAAUGUCUAGGGAAUGGAUAAACACCUGGUGCCUUCAAGAGAAUGAGUGUUCUACAAGACAGACAAGCAUACCAACCAUUCUUCUCAGAAUGUCACAAAUGAUGGAGUUUGCUCCUGGCUCUGCAUCCCUCACUCAGGCCUCCCACCCGUCCCCUUUCUCCUGCGUGAACCACCAUGUCUGCUCCUUUGCUCCGGUGGGAUUUUCAGACCGAGGCCACGUUGAGCUGUGUGUACCGCUGGCUGCGCUGGAGGCCGGCAAGUUCUCACCUGGGUGUUCAGGGCUCAGGCAUGCCAAGGCAGCCCAGGCUAGCCAUUCCCUGUGAGCAGGACCGUCCAGUGCACUGUCGUCACAGCUCUUGUCUCUGGAUGACAUUUCCUUUCCCCUCCCAGAAAUAAAGCUGGUCUUA